CCUACGGGAGGCAGCAGUGGGGAAUAUUGCACAAUGGGCGAAACCCUGAUGCAGCGACGCCGCGUGAGUGAAGAAGUAUUUCGGUACGUAAAGCUCUAUCAGCAGGGAAGAAAAUGACGGUACCUGACUAAGAAGCCCCGGCUAACUACGUGCCAGCAGCCGCGGUAAUACGUAGGGGGCAAGCGUUAUCCGGAUUUACUGGGUGUAAAGGGAGCGUAGACGGCAGCGCAAGUCUGGAGUGAAAUCCCAUGGCUUAACCAUGGAACUGCUUUGGAAACUGUGCAGCUAGAGUGCAGGAGAGGUAAGCGGAAUUCCUAGUGUAGCGGUGAAAUGCGUAGAUAUUAGGAGGAACACCAGUGGCGAAGGCGGCUUACUGGACUGUAACUGACGUUGAGGCUCGAAAGCGUGGGGAGCAAACAGGAUUAGAUACCCCAGUAGUC
rnacentral:rRNA from 1 species